UUCCGGUUGAUCCUGCCGGACCCUACUGCUAUCGGGGUGGGACUAAGACAUGCGAGUUGAGCGUCUCUAGCUAUGUUGAGACGCGGCAUACGGCUCAGUAACACGUGGCUAACCUACCCUCAGGACGGGGACAAACCCGGGAAACUGGGGCUAAUACCAGAUAGGCGAGGAGGCCUGGAAUGGUUCGUCACCUAAAAGACUUUGAGAGCAUGCUUUUCAAAGUCGCCUGGGGAUGGGGCCGCGUCCGAUCAGGUUGUUGGUGAGGUAAUGGCUCACCAAGCCUAUAACCGGUACGGGCCGUGAGAGCGGUAGCCCGGAGAUGGGCACUGAGACAAGGGCCCAGGCCCUACGGGGCGCAGCAGUCGCGAAAACUCCGCAAUGCACGAAAGUGUGACGGGGCUACCCCGAGUGCCGUCCGCUGAGGAUGGCUUUUCCUCGGUGUAACUAGCCGGGGGAAUAAGGAGAGGGCAAGACUGGUGUCAGCCGCCGCGGUAAUACCAGCUCUCCGAGUCGUAGGGAUGAUUAUUGGGCUUAAAGCGUUCGUAGCUGGCUUAGCAAGUCUUCUGUUAAAUUCAGCGACCUAAUCGUUGAGCCGCGGGAGAUACUACUAGGCUAGGAGGCGGGAGAGGUCAACGGUACUUUCGGGGUAGGGGUGAAAUCCUAUAAUCCCGGGAGGACCACCAGUGGCGAAGGCUGUUGACUAGAACGCGCUCGACGGUGAGGGACGAAAGCUGGGGGAGCGAACCGGAUUAGAUACCCGGGUAGUCCCAGCUGUAAACUAUGCGGGCUAGGUGUUGGGGUGGCUACGGGCCACUUCAGUGCCGCAGGGAAGCCAUUAAGCCCGCCGCCUGGGGAGUACGGCCGCAAGGCUGAAACUUAAAGGAAUUGGCGGGGGAGCACCACAAGGCGUGAAGCUUGCGGGUUCAAUUUGGAGUCAACGCCGGAAAGGCGAAUUCAGC
rnacentral:rRNA from 1 species